rnacentral:lncRNA from 10 species
CCUCAGCUCCCUUUCCACGCUGUGGAAGCUUUGUUCUUUCACUCUUUGCAAUAAAUCUUGCUGCUGCUCACUCUUUGGGUCUGCACUGCCUUUAUGAGCUGUAACACUCACUGCGAAGGUCUGCAGCUUCACUCCUGAGCCAGCGAGACCACGAAUCUAACAGAAGGAAGAAACUCCGAACACAUCUGAACAUCAGAAGGAACAAACUCUGGACACGCCACCUUUAAGAAUUGUAAGAGGGUGGGCGGCUUCAUUCUUGAAGUCAGUGAGACCAAGAACCCACCAAUUCCGGACACACCCUUAAUCUCCAAUAUUGGAAGGUACUCACUACCCAUUGACAGAACCAACUUAUUAUUCCAACAAGAAAUGAGAAAUACUGAGGAGAAUGCAAUGUGAUACUUCUGUCUUCAACCAGUUAUUCCAGUUUUAUGGAGGAUUCUGUAUUUAACUCUUACUCAGCACUUACAAAUUCAUGGACUAUUAUGAAGACAAGUUAAGAGAUUGUGUCCUCCAAACUCAUCAUUUUUCAGAAAUUGUAUCACAAUCCUACAAGAUAAAUGCACAAGAUAAUUCUUCAAAUCAUUGAGAGUGUAAUCUAUAAUCUUCCUAAACAACGAACAGUAUAGCACUGGUUAAGGAAAUCAUAUAUCAGCAUAAAGAAAUGUCAACAAGAACUAAGAAGGAUCCAGUUCUGAAUCUCGUUAGCAAGUUCAAAGCAAGGCCAAGAAGAUGCAAUUCCCACUGGAAACCUUAUGAGACAGUUAGAAGGGAAGGGGAGCAAAUGUUCACCAGGAUUUGGAAUGUGCAUGCACAGAUUGCGGAUAGAUAGACUGCCACCCUCGUCAUUGCAGAAGGAAACUUAUGGAGUCGUGCCCUGUCUCCCAGGCUGGAGUGCAGUGGCCCGAUCUCGGCUCAUGGCAACCUCUGCCUCCCAGGUUCAAGUGAUUCUCCUGCCUCAGCCUCCCGAGAAGCUGGGACUACAGGUGCCUGCCACCAUGCCCGGCUAAUUUUGGUAUUUUUAGUAGAGACGGGGUUUCACCAUAUUGGCCAGGCUGGUCUUGAACUCCUGAUCUUGUGAUCCACCCACCUCGGCUUCCCAAAGUGCUGGGAUUACAGGCAUGAGCCACCGCACCCAGCCUUUGAACUUUCAUACCUUUAGUA